rnacentral:lncRNA from 1 species
UUUCGACAAAAUUUGCAAAUAAUUUCAUAUUUCAGCACUAAAUAUGUUUACAUCACAGGCCAUAAAGCCGUACAAACUAGUAUCACUUGUUCCUAUACAAAACUAUCAACUGAUACAUACAACAAAACAGAAUACAGAAAAUUUAGUUCAACAAAAAUAAGUUUUCUUCCUCUUCCAUCUUCCAGGACACAAAACACCUGUGAAAGUAAAGAUGCCACAACAAAAAUGGAAGGAUCAGCCAUUAGAAGCAUAUUGAGUACAAGGGAAACACGCACUGUGAAAAUUUUGACAGCACGAAUAUUUUUUAUAUUACAAUAACAAACAAAAAUGUAAUCUGAUUGCAUAAGACAUAUGGCAUUAUCAACAAGACAAAGCAAAAUUUAUAGUGCCAACUCGGGAAUAAGAUAAAGCAAAAUUUAUAAAUCUAUAACAUCGCACACGAGGUCUAAAUUUAUACUAUGUUCCUUUAGAAGCAAGAGUUGGUUCGUGUCUAGCUUUUAUUGCAGAUAACUAGUAAAUUUCCACAAAAAAUAGGAGCGACAUAUGUUUUAAUCUCGUGUUUGCAGUAUAUAUUCACAACAUGUAAGAAUACUUUGAUUAACAAACUAACCAACCAUCAACUAACACUUCACAGUACCAACUAACACUUCACAGUACCAACUAACACUUCACAGUACCAAAAAGAUGGGGUGGCGCUCACCAAUUCAGAUGUGCAGCAGCCAUGAGGGCUUCUUCGUGUUCCACCUACAGCAGCGGCAACUUCUACAAAUCUGAGACACAAAACAAACGCAUGCAGAAGGAAUCAGAGGGAGGGGAGAUGAAGAACAUGGCAGGCAUUUAUAUGAUGGCAGUACAUAUGGAACAAACAGCAGUCCAUACUUGC